CUUUAUUGGUGAACUAUCUCUUUGAAAUGGUUUUGAAAUAUUUAAAAUACUUUAGGUGGUGUCAAAUGCUUAAAAUUAUCGAGAUGCAUAUUUAGUAUGCGUUGCGUUACAGUAACAGCUUCAAUCUAGUAAUGGCCAUGAUCUCUGGAAACCACUGAGGACUUUAUUAGGCAAUAUUAAAAUCUUGAGUAACGGCUUGCGUUUGCUUUUUGUAGUUCUAGUUAUCAACAUCAUGUAUAUAUUUAUUAGUAUUUCCUUAGCAACAACAGCAAGUCAGAAGGGAAAGUGUUUUAACAAACAUAUUAAGAUACUUUUCAAGAGUAUUAUUAUUCUAGUUUGUACCAUCUUAUAUUCUAAACUUUAAAAUC
rnacentral:lncRNA from 1 species